UGGGCUUGACAUCCCACGAACCUGUCUGAAAGGAUGGAGUGCCUUCAAGGGAGCGUUGAGACAGGUGGUGCAUGGUUGUCGUCAGCUCGUGUCGUGAGAUGUUGGGUUAAGUCCCGCAACGAGCGCAACCCUCACCCUUUGUUGCCAUCAGGUUAUGCUGGGCACUCUAAGGGAACUGCCUCGGUUAACGAGGAGGAAGGUGGGGAUGACGUCAAGUCAUCAUGCCCCUUACGCUCUGGGCUACACACGUGCUACAAUGGCCAAUACAAAGGGCUGCAAACCCGCGAGGGCAAGCCAAUCCCAAAAAAUUGGUCUCAGUUCAGAUUGUAGGCUGCAACCCGCCUGCAUGAAGGAGGAAUCGCUAGUAAUCGUGGAUCAGCAUGCCACGGUGAAUACGUUCCCGGGCCUUGUACACACCGCCCGUCACACCACGAAAGUCUGCUGUACUCGAAGUCGCUGAGA
rnacentral:rRNA from 1 species